AGAGUUUGAUCCUGGCUCAGAACGAACGCUGGCGGCGUGCUUAACACAUGCAAGUCGAACGCGAAAGAAUUCUUCGGAAUUUGAGUAGAGUGGCGCACGGGUGAGUAACGCGUAAGUAAUCUACCCUGGUAUCUGGGAUAACUCACCGAAAGGUGUGCUAAUACCGGAUACGCUGAGUAAUCAGGAAAGGUGGCCUCUUCAUGAAAGCUACUGUACCAGGAGGAGCUUGCGUACCAUUAGCUAGUUGGUAGGGUAAUGGCCUACCAAGGCAACGAUGGUUAGCGGGUCUGAGAGGAUGAUCCGCCACACUGGAACUGAAACACGGACCAGACUCCUACGGGAGGCAGCAGUGAGGAAUAUUGCGCAAUGGGGGAAACCCUGACGCAGCGACGCCGCGUGGAUGAUGAAGGCCUUCGGGUCGUAAAAUCCUGUCAGAUGGAAAGAAGUGUACGGUGGCUAAUACCCAUUGUAUUUGACGGUACCAUCAAAGGAAGCACCGGCUAACUCCGUGCCAGCAGCCGCGGUAAUA
rnacentral:rRNA from 1 species